rnacentral:rRNA from 1 species
GAAGUAAAAGUCGUAACAAGGUCUCCGUUGGUGAACCAGCGGAGGGAUCAUUACAGAGUUGCAAAACUCCCCAAACCAUUGUGAACAUACCCCCAAAACCGUUGCUUCGGCGGGCGGCACCCCCGGGCCUCCCGGUAGUGUAGUGUCCCUCGGCCCCCUCCGCGGGGCGUCCGCCGGAGGAUUAUACAACACCCUAUUUGCUCUGUACGGCCUCUCUGAGUCUUCUGUACUGAAUAAGUCAAAACUUUCAACAACGGAUCUCUUGGUUCUGGCAUCGAUGAAGAACGCAGCGAAAUGCGAUAAGUAAUGUGAAUUGCAGAAUUCAGUGAAUCAUCGAAUCUUUGAACGCACAUUGCGCCCGCCAGUAUUCUGGCGGGCAUGCCUGUUCGAGCGUCAUUUCAACCAUCAAGCCCCCGGGCUUGUGUUGGGGACCUGCGGCUGUCCGCAGGCCCUGAAAACCAGUGGCGGGCUCGCUGGUCACCCCGAGCGUAGUAGUUAUAUCCAACUCGCCCAGGGCGUGCUGCGGGCUCCGGCCGUUAAAGCCCAACUCAUUUUUACCCCAAGGUUGACCUCGGAUCAGGUAGGAAUACCCGCUGAACUUAAGCAUAUCAAUAAGCGGAGG